AUUGAACGCUGGCGGCAGGCCUAACACAUGCAAGUCGAACGAGUGGCGGACGGGUGAGUAAUAUAUGGGAACCUGCCCGAUAGAGGGGGAUAACUACUGGAAACGGUGGCUAAUACCGCAUACUAUCGGAUGUGCCCAUAUGGGAUUAGCUAGUUGGUGGGGUAACGGCUCACCAAGGCGACGAUCCCUAGCUGGUCUGAGAGGAGGACCAGCCACACUGGGACUGAGACACGGUCCAGACUCCUACGGGAGGCAGCAGUGGGGAAUAUUGCACAAUGGGCGAAAGCCUGAUGCAGCCAUGCCGCGUGUAUGAUGAAGGCCUUCGGGUUGUAAAGUACUUUCAGCGGGGAGGCGUUACCCGCAGAAGAAGCACCGGCUAACUCCGUGCCAGCAGCCGCGGUAAUUC
rnacentral:rRNA from 1 species